AACGCGAAGAACCUUACCUGGUCUUGACAUCCACGGAAGUUUUCAGAGAUGAGAAUGUGCCUUCGGGAACCGUGAGACAGGUGCUGCAUGGCUGUCGUCAGCUCGUGUUGUGAAAUGUUGGGUUAAGUCCCGCAACGAGCGCAACCCUUAUCUUUUGUUGCCAGCGGUCCGGCCGGGAACUCAAAGGAGACUGCCAGUGAUAAACUGGAGGAAGGUGGGGAUGACGUCAAGUCAUCAUGGCCCUUACGACCAGGGCUACACACGUGCUACAAUGGCGCAUACAAAGAGAAGCGACCUCGCGAGAGCAAGCGGACCUCAUAAAGUGCGUCGUAGUCCGGAUUGGAGUCUGCAACUCGACUCCAUGAAGUCGGAAUCGCUAGUAAUCGUGGAUCAGAAUGCCACGGUGAAUACGUUCCCGGGUCUUGUACACACGC
rnacentral:rRNA from 1 species